rnacentral:misc_RNA from 1 species
AAACAAAGAUGUCUUCUCCUAAAUGCUUGUUAGAGUUAUUCCUGCUCGGAGUAGUAGUGAUUCUCUCUGCUACCCCCACAUCACUGGCUAAUCGCCUAGAACCUCCUAAAGGUAAAGGCGAGAAACCACCCCUAAACCAUAAGCCCCCACGUGUUCACCUUUUAAGUGAGAAUGUAGGGGACUUUCAUGGACCUCCAAAGGAUAAGGGUGAGAAAACACCACCUAAACACCAACCCCCACAUGGACACCUUCUAGUUGAGGAUGAAGAGGAUUCUUUUAAACCUCCUAAGAGUAAGGGAGAGAAGUUUCCAUCACAAAAUCCUCUGCCAGGAUAUAGACGCCUUUUGGCAGAGGAUGUCGUGGAGGACUCGCAAAAGGGUAAGGGAUAUAAGCCACCACACGGACAUCUUUUAGCCGA